ACGGGGGUCUGGUGUGAAGAGCCCUUCGUCCUGGGAGCCGGGAUGUGGCUGGCCGGAAAGGGGGCUGCUCUCUCGCCCAUCACGGAACGCACGUUCCUGGGUAAACCUGGUGCUAAACCAUUUGUAGACGACCUGCUUCUGGGUCGGGGUUUCGUAUGUAGCAGAGCAGCUCCCUUGCUGCGAUCUAUUGAGAGUCAGCCCUCGACACAAGGGUUUGU
rnacentral:ncRNA from 1 species